rnacentral:misc_RNA from 1 species
GAAAUGCGAUAAGUAGUGUGAAUUGCAGAAUUCAGUGAAUCAUCGAAUCUUUGAACGCACAUUGCGCACCUUGGUAUUCCAUGGGGCAUGCCUGUUCGAGCGUCAUUUGUACCCUCAAGCUCUGCUUGGUGUUGGGUGUUUGUCCCCGUCUCCGCGCGUGGACUCGCCCCAAAGUGAUUGGCAGCCGGCGUACUGGUCCCGGAGCGCAGCACAUGUCGCGCAAACGAGUGCCUUGGUACGGCGGCGUCCAUAAGCCCCUCUCUCACGCUCUUGACCUCGGAUCAGGUAGGGAUACCCGCUGAACUUAAGC